UUCUCUUUCUCUUUCUCUUUCUCUUUCUCUUUCUCUUUCUCGUUGGUUGAUCUUUUGUGUAAUAAUGUCUUCUUAUAAACGAGGGAGAGAAGAAGGAGCUUAUUCUCCAGAACGAAAAAGAAGCCGAACAGACGAUCA
rnacentral:ribozyme from 13 species